rnacentral:lncRNA from 1 species
ACUAAAGAUGUAACCAAUCUAAAGCAAUUACAGACUGAUCAAAAUUGUACUUUAAAGAUUAACGAUUUUGAAGUGUUCAUUACAUCAACAUUCUAACCAUUCAAUAUGUUGAUACUAGAAANAACCUGUGUGCCAUCCAUGCCAAGCGUGUGACAAUCAUGCCCAAGGAUAUCCAGCUAGCUCGUCGGAUUAGGGGUGAGCGUGCUUAGACAACCCGAUCAUCUUGCCUACAAGUGAUGGUAGUAAGUUGUGGUGUUCUUUUUAGUCCAUCUUUGUUAAGGAAUAUAUAGGUAAUCGAUAGUCUCGAACUCUUAGCUAUGGCUGUAAUUCCUGUUGGGUUGUGUUUUGACAAUGAUUUCCAUUGGCUGGUGGUGGUGGUGGUGUGAUGAAUUAGUUGUUUUUGUCGUGGAUGAUGAAUGUUACUGGUAUUUCGUUUUGUGAAGAGUUAUGUGAUUUGAAAUAAGAAUAGUGAAAUAUAAGAUUGGUCAGAAUUUAGAAAUGUCGCCGUUGAUUUUAUUCUAGAAAUCUUCUUGUAUUCCUGGAAGAAAGAGACUCGAGAGAGAAACCUGAAAUCAAAUAGGUUUGUGAAGGUUUGGUUCUUUCAGAGUUUGAUUUCUUGUCUCUAGUGAGCAAGAUAACUAUUGUUCACUGUUGAUGAGUCGUUGCUACAUCAAUGGUCAAAUCGUAUUUUUUUGACUUUUCAAAAGAAAAAAGGUUUGAUAGGCUGAUGUAGCAACACCAUUUCAACAUAUUGACAUUAUAACCCCUGACACCGGGGGCUGGAUAUUAUUUUUGUUGUUUCUAUAUCUAUGUUUUAAAAGACACUUCAAUUCUUUGUUCUUAUUUUACUUUGCUUUAAAUGUUUUCAUACCUUGGAUUAUACAAAAUGUAUGAAUAAUAAUUGAAUUUAAGUUGUGAUUUGUAUGAAAUAUGUUGAUAAAAAGUAAAUUUAAUCAGCUUAAAUUAAGAUUUAAACUUUCGUCAUAACGAAUUUUAGGACUGUCGAGCAUUUAACCGUUGUUUUUAGGAUCACCUGUCAACUUCUUGACCUAAAAUGAAUGCCAUGGAAGACA